rnacentral:rRNA from 1 species
UGAGGAAUAUUGGUCAAUGGGCGAGAGCCUGAACCAGCCAAGUCGCGUGAAGGAAGACAGUCCUAAGGAUUGUAAACUUCUUUUAUACGGGAAUAACGGGCGAUACGAGUAUUGCAUUGAACGUACCGUAAGAAUAAGCAUCGGCUAACUCCGUGCCAGCAGCCGCGGUAAUACGGAGGAUGCGAGCGUUAUCCGGAUUUAUUGGGUUUAAAGGGUGCGUAGGUUGUUCGGUAAGUCAGCGGUGAAACCUGAGCGCUCAACGUUCAGCCUGCCGUUGAAACUGCCGGGCUUAAGUUCAGUGGCGGCAGGCGGAAUUCGUGGUGUAGCGGUGAUAUGCAUAGAUAUCACGAGGAACUCCGAUUGCGAAGGCAGCUUGCCAUACUGCGACUGACACUGAAGCACGAAGGCGUGGGUAUCAAACAGG